rnacentral:lncRNA from 1 species
UUUUAUAUAAGUUAUCUUUUAUUUUAUUUGACGAUGAAUUUAUUCAAUUCAUCUCAUUUUAAACUCGAUAUAAGUUAUCUGUAUUUUCAACGUUUCCCUCUGUUCUAAGGUUAUAGCCUAAAGUCGAUCCCACCUAAGGUUUCUAACCCUAAAGCUUUGAUACCAACCUGUGACGCCCCCAAAUCCGGGUACUUGAAACCCGAACUCGGUGCCUCACGAUACCAUUUCUAUAAG